UUGAGUUUUUUGGAUAAUAUUAAUUAUAAUAAAAAUUAUGAACACAAACCAAAGUAAAAAAAUAAAAACUUUAUACGACUUUUUCAUAUAAGAACCAUCGUAGGCGGCUCUAUGAAGUGUGCUAGGUGUACCUCGGCACACCCUAAUGUGAAUAAUGCGAAUAAAAAAAUUGAAUAAUUACAAUUGAGAAUAUAUGUGCAUACACAUUAAUUAAAUUUUAGUUUUUUAAUUAAAAUUAUAACACGGUCUACACGUAAGUGUUUAUAGCCUCCUCUUUAUAUUUUGAAAAAAUAACCAAAAAAUGACAGGGCACACUCAAAUGUAUCACUCUGGGUCCGCCUAUGAGAACCAUCACAGGUAAAUUGUGGACUCUUCUACAAUAGAAACAGUCAAUAUAACAGCUAAAUGUGGUCUGUGCCUUAUAAAAUUAAAAAAUAAUAAGGCUUCAACAUCCAACUUGAUUCGACAUGUAUGAUCAAAAUAACCAACUAUUAAGUUGUUAAACCGGAAUAUUAGAAUGGUAGAAGUACAAGAUGAUCCAGCUGAAACUACUUCUACUUCAAUUUUAGGUGCCUGGGCAUACAUAGCACCAACCGUACGGACACCUAUGCAUGUAUAUAGUAUACAACAUUAGAGUGCAGGAAAGUGGGUAUUCGUUAAUUUUAAUUUCUUACCUUUUUCCUUUUAUGUUUUAUUAAUGUCUAAUAUUUUUCAUAAAUUAAAUUUAAAUAUAUUAUUAACUUUCAUACUACAUACACUUUAAUAGAUAAGAAUCGUUGUUCCAGCACAAGCUUUGCUGAUAUGGAUAGCUGUAAUAUUGUAAACUAUUUUUCGAAAAUGUAAAAUACUGAAUGUUAUUGUUACAAUAAAGUUAUUAUCUAUUUUGUUAUUAACA